AGGACGAACGCUGGCGGCGUGCUUAACACAUGCAAGUCGAGCGGUAAGGCCUUUCGGGGUACACGAGCGGCGAACAGGUGAGUAACACGUGGGUGAUCUGCCCUGCACUCUGGGAUAAGCCUGGGAAACUGGGUCUAAUACCGGAUAUGACCUGCUCUCGCAGUGGGGGUGGUGGAAAGAUUUAUCGGUGCAGGAUGGGCCCGCGGCCUAUCAGCUUGUUGGUGGGUAAUGGCCUACCAAGGCGACGACGGGUAGCCGACCUGAGAGGGUGACCGGCCACGACGUGGGACUGAGACACGGCCCAGACUCCGUACGGGAGGCAGCAGUGGGAAUAUGCACAAGUGGGCGAAAGCCUGAUGCAGCCGACGCCGCGUGAGGGAUGGAACGGCCGUUUCGGGUUUCGUAAACCCGUUCGUUUUACCGAGGCGAAGGGACCG
rnacentral:rRNA from 1 species